rnacentral:rRNA from 1 species
GACAGAGGCCCCGAGCGUUAGGCGGAAUCACUGGGCUUAAAGCGUGUGUAGGCGGAUCGUUAAGUGUCUUGUGAAAUCCCACGGCUCACCCGUGGAACGGCUGGGCAUACUGGCGAUCUUGGGCCAACUAGGGGCAACUGGAACAAGCGGUGGAGCGGUGAAAUGCGUAGAUAUCGCUUGGAACGCCGAAGGUGAAAACAGGUUGCUGGGGUUGUGCCGACGCGUGAGACACGAAAGCCAGGGGAGCAAACGGG